AUGAUGAAAAUGAGCAUGGGUAACUUCAGAAGGUU
rnacentral:SRP_RNA from 1 species